UCCAUUUACCUCGGAAGUCGGAAGCUGAAAUUGGGAAUAACGUCACACCCGAGCUGAAUGUGUUCCAUUUAUAAGUCAGAUUUUCAUUGUUUAGGAAUACCAGUUUAUGACCACACAUCACGCUGUUUUAUGUGCAUGCAAACAGCGUAACAACAUGUCCAUGGCUAGAAUAUGGACAGGACUGUGUGAACAGCUGAUUUAGCGACA